rfam:Vibrio furnissii NCTC 11218 chromosome 1, complete sequence.
GCAAUCUCGGACAGUGCUUCCGAGGGAUACGCGUAGUGACCAUUCAGGCUGAUUGGGACAUUACGUAGGGUAGGUAUCAGUAAGUCCUUUUACUGAUAGACGGGAUACUCUUGCUGUGGGAACAGCAUGUGAAUGGGAUACCCAACA